CAUUCGCACGCAUCCAACCAAAUCACCGUGAAUAACAGUUGGUGAAGCUCUGGGUGGGGAUGGAGAUAGCAUCGAUUCCCCCAKGCAGACUUCAAGGGCACUGGGCCAGGUGCGGACCGUCUUCUGCAUCUGCGCCUGCUGCCAAUUGUCUUUUGACUUAUUGGUUUCUUCAUAUCCUAUCUCUUGUGGCUUGUUCCACAUGUCUUCUCAUACAACUUUCAGCGAUGGAUGUCUCGGCUCGAACAACGAUGAAGGGCGCAGCGAAGUGUGAUAAGCAUUGUGAAUUGCAGAAUUCCGUGAACCAAUAGGGACUUGAACGUAUACUGCGCUUUCGGGAUAUCCCUGAAAGCAUGCCUGCUUCAGUGUCUAAUUCAUUUCAUUCCAGCAACCUGGUUUUCCAGUGCUGCUUGGGUGUAUUUGUGUGUCAGUGUGCUUUUUGCCUUUGACACAUUGAGCUCAUCAGGUUUUCCUUGCGCAAGCAAUUAGAAGGGUGUUAUUAUGACGCUAUCUGUUUGCUUGUUUGCUAAGGGAAGCUUGGCUUGCAGUGCCUUGUGCACUCAACCCAGACAUGAAGUUAGGCCAGCAAACCCGCUGAAUUUAA
rnacentral:rRNA from 1 species